GCAGCCGUGGGGGAAUUGGCAUACGCGCUAGACUAAGGAUCUAGUCCGGGCUAACUGGGUGCGGGUUCAAGUCCCGCCGACUGCA
rnacentral:tRNA from 1 species